rnacentral:rRNA from 1 species
AGUGAACGCUGGCGGUAGGCCUAACACAUGCAAGUCGAACGGCAGCACAGUAAGAGCCUGCUCUUACGGGUGGCGAGUGGCGGACGGGUGAGGAAUACAUCGGAAUCUACUUUUUCGUGGGGGAUAACGUAGGGAAACUUACGCUAAUACCGCAUACGACCUACGGGUGAAAGCAGGGGAUCUUCGGACCUUGCGCGAUUGAAUGAGCCGAUGUCGGAUUAGCUAGUUGGCGGGGUAAAGGCCCACCAAGGCGACGAUCCGUAGCUGGUCUGAGAGGAUGAUCAGCCACACUGGAACUGAGACACGGUCCAGACUCCUACGGGAGGCAGCAGUGGGGAAUAUUGGACAAUGGGCGCAAGCCUGAUCCAGCCAUACCGCGUGGGUGAAGAAGGCCUUCGGGUUGUAAAGCCCUUUUGUUGGGAAAGAAAAGCAGCAGGUUAAUACCCCGCUGUUCUGACGGUACCCAAAGAAUAAGCACCGGCUAACUUCAUG